rnacentral:lncRNA from 1 species
UUUUUAAUAGUAUUUAUUUUUUUAAGAAAUAAUAUACUCAUUAAUACGGGUUACACGUGCAAACCCAGAAAACAUAUUUAGUCGUAAACUAAAAUCUGUUGCUCUUUGUUUCACAGUAUUGAUCUGACUGUGAAUUUAAUUAACCCGAUUCAGAUGUAGUGGAAGAGCACUCUCUUCUUAUAGUGUUGGAUGAAUGAGUAAGUGCUUAACUUUCGCUCAAGCUCCGCAUCUCGUCAUACUUGUCUCUUAACCCUUGAAACUUGAGUUCAUCAUCAUCAUCAUGGGAUCUUGAUUCCAAGCUAAACUCAGGAAGGUCAAGAUGAUCUUCAAGAAUGCUGACUACUGCAGACAUGGUUGGCCUAAGUGCUGGAGAUGUAUUGGUACAUAGAAGGGCUACGUUUAUCAUCCUUAGAGCCUCAUCCUUCUUGAAAUCUGAACUCAAUGUUUCAUCUACUAGUUCCAUCAGUUUUCCUUCCCUUUUUAGAACAAGGGCCUGAAUAAAAUGCAAAGAUACUAGUUCAAAAGUUUGGAAAAUAGGAAUUGAUAUCAGGGAUAAUGAGUUGUUACCCAAUCUAGAAGGCAAACAAAUUUCUCAUUGGGGCGAUAUUUCAUAUUGUUCUUCCCAGCAACAAUCUCUAACGCAACAACUCCAAAACUGUAGACAUCUGCUUUGUAGGUUAAGUAUCCCCAUAGUGCAUAUUCAGGGGCGAUAUAUCCUCUGCAGAACAGAGUAAAACUUUAGAUUCAUGCCUGUGUUAUUUCUAAACGUGGCAUCAACUUCAUGCUUGAUGUUUCAGUAUAUGAAGAAUGGCUGAUUCGGAUGAGAUACAAGUUAAGUUCAUUGGAAGAAACUUUAAGAAACCAUUUCUAUCACUCAAAUUGAAGUAAUGCAAUCAAUACCAGAAAUAUGAUCAAGCUUCCAAAUGAGCCUUCUUUAAGGGAAGCCAAGCGAUUAUGUUCUAGUCCUUGUAACUUCACCACCUUUUUUGGUUAAGAAUAUGUAAACUAUUGCAAGUUACCUUGUAUAAGAUAUCGAAAAUGCAAGAAAGAGAAUGUAAGGGUCUUAAAUGUAUAUAUGCUGCAUGUAUGAAAACAACAUACGGACGUACAUCAAUCAGUUUACGCUGCAAAGUUCUGGUGCCGUUGCAGAAAGUUAUGAAAUGUAGAAUUAACCCUACUGUGCCGUAAGUAACAGAUAUAUUUCUUACUCAACGAACACAAAGCAUAACAUGAAUAAAAGAGCUUGUCAGAAAACUCACAUGGUUCCAGCAAUUCUAGUGCUGAUAUGUGUUUUAUCCUCAUCGUCAAGUUUGGCCAGACCAAAGUCAGAGAUCUUUGGGUUUAGUUUCUUGUCAAGAAGUACAUUUGUUGCUUUGAUGUCCCUAUGAACAAUUUUUAAUGACGAUUCUUCGUGGAGAAAAGCUAAGCCUUUUGCUAUCCCAAUGCAGAUUUUUUGCCUUGUUGGCCAGUCUAUUCGGAGACGAUGUUCUUCUGGACCUGCAUUUUAAUGAGAACUAAGAAUCUAUGCAUACCUUCUCUCAUUUUGAACUCUUUCAUGAAUUACGAACGAGCAAUAUUUCUUCUUAUUUCAUUAAGCUUAUUUUCUGUUUGACUUGUAAGUUGUAACUGAAAACAAUGAGCAAGGAUAGUAAAUUACCAAAUAAAGCACGGGCGAGGCUAUUGUUCUCCAAGUACUCAUACACCAAUAGAAGUUGAUUUCCUUCAGCACAACAUCCAUAUAGUUUGACAAGAUUUGGGUGGUGUAAACUAGAGAUCAUACCUAUCUCAUUUACAAACUCGCGGUUCCCUUGUUUUGAUUUGGAUGAAAGCUGCUUAACAGCAAUGACUGUACCAUCCAGUAGUGUACCCUGCUUAUUAAUUAAAAACAAAGAAGAAAUAAACAGGUCAUGGCUGUCUAUACAUGCAUAACAUCCACUUCUAGAUGUUGUAGCUAAACGAAAAAGGGUCAAGGUAAAUGGUUGUAGUGUGCCCUGCAGUGGACGGAGGACCUAUAAUAACAUCAAUUGAACCCAUCCUUUUCAUUUGUACUGUAGUAAUAUGUGAAAAAACUUUAAAAUUAUACUCCAUCCAUUUCAAUUUAUUUGUCUUACUUUCCUUUUUGGUCAGUUUCAAAAACAAUAUAUAUCUUCCCUUUUUUUGGCAACUCUUUAAAAUCUUGGAUUUUCCUCUGCUUGCAUGUGUAAGUAAAUGACUGCAUGGGAUGAGGCAUUGGUAUGUGGAGAGAGAAAGAGCAGAAAGCUUGUGAGUGAUCAGAUUGAGAUGCACCUUGUAGACGGAGCCAAAACCACCUUCCCCCAAUUUUAUUUGCAGCAUCAAAGUUGUUUGUCGCGGCUUUGAUUUGUCUGAUGGUAAAUACACCAGUCAGUAGAUCCAGUCCUCUUAAUUCUGUACAUUUGCAGUAAAAAAAAACCAUUUAAAAUGUGUGACACUUCCAUAUAAUGUGGAAAAUCAUGUACUUGUAUGAAAUGCGCAUCUCCAUAAUGUUCUUGUUUUCAAAAUCCAUCAUUUUAUUUUGAUAAGAACUUUUCAGGAAAUCAUGGAGAACACAAUACAGUAAGUUCUAUCUAUUUAAGAAAUAAGACACAAAAUAGGCUGGUACUGUAGCAUCACCUUCUUCCUUUGAUAUACUGUUUCUGCUUCUCCUCCAAGCAACAAAGAAUAUUGUAAAAAGGAGAACUAAUGAGGACGCCACUACUCCAGCAAUGAUGUGAGCCAUCUUUUUGUGAUUUGAAGGGGGCUUGAAAUCUAUGAUAUAGAAAAAGGAAGAGGAAGAGUGUAAAAUGCACUUACAUUUGUUUUUAUGCUUUUAAUCUUAAAGUGAUUUGAGGAAAAAGAUGAAGUUUUUUCUCUAGGCUCUCUGAGAAUAAUUAACAUGUGGAAGCAGUAUCAUAAUUUCUUCAUGUAAAAGGUCACCAAGGUAAUAGAAUAAAGUGUAGAGAGUCUGUGAAAGAGAAAUAAGUGAAACAAAGGGUAAUAGUAGUGUUACUAGCUUCAAAAGAGAUGGCAGAAACUAAAGGGCCAUAGCUUCCUCUUCUAGGGACAGCUGUUGUUCCUUUCCCAGCAUACUGAAAACGCACUUCUAGAAUGCCAUCUUCUACAGAUGCAUUGAACUUUCUUGUCAAAGCUGUAUCAACUCCUCCAGCAGUAGUUCUAAUGUCAAAAUCUUUGAGCUUCCUUUCACCCUGCAUCCAGUUAUAUUGUUAGCGAACUGCCCCUAAACCUUGACUCAAUACUCAGAUUUAUAUUUAAUUGACCUAAAUAUAGACAUCAAACAUCCGUUUUCCGAGACUCUGGAAAGAUCGGUUAUCUCUUAUAACAAUCUCUGCAAAGUGCAGUGUCACAGUGUAGUUUCCAUUUGCUAAACAACGUCCAUAGUAAGUUAGAGAUAAAGCUGAGAGCCGAGCUGUCGUGUAUAGUUCAGAAUUGUGUCCCUUAAUGGAAGAUACGUUAGUUGCCUUGUACUUGUACGAUGUUAUGUUAACAUACCAGAAGUCCCCGGUGUUGCUGGAUCCCCAGCUCUCUUUCCUGUUGACAAACUUUGCAGCACCUGCGGAAUCUUCAUCUGCUUCGUAAGUCGUGUCCCCUAUUGUCACAUUCUCUCCACCACAAUUUAUGUGCACUGAAUACCAAUCUGUAUAUAAUUAAAACAAUUAUCCAACAUUGCCUUUAUGUAACAUGACACAGUAAGAAACAAAAUUGUCAAGCGCUCUCUUUCUCCUUUAUCAACAAGAAUUUGAUGUACUGUAUAUUUAAAAGAAGCAGUAGAGUAUAUGAGAACAAAAUCUUAGAUAGAGAGAAAAUGAAUCAUAGUCUUGUAGAAAGAUAAACUUACUCUUUGAACAAGUUAACAAGCAUUUCCCAAGUUCUCUGUAUCAAGUUGGAAAGAGGGUCAGAAGGCAUGAACCAGUUGAUAAUUCUCUAAAGAGAAAAACUAUGCAUCAAGUGUCUUAUAAGACAAGUUAAAUAACUUACGACUUUUUUGUUGAGUUAUAGCUUUUGAACAAGUUUCUGAUAAGAAGAAGGAAAUGUAGCUUAGAGAUAACGACAGAUGGUGUCCCAAUAACAAAAAUGAGUGGGAAGAAGACCAAGGUUCAAGGAUCAUACAGGGGUUUCCCGACAAGUAGUUGGCACGGAGCUUUCGUUGAAAUUGUUGUAAGAUAGAUCUAUGAAACUUCAAAUGGUGCAUAGCAAAAUCAACAAGUGUGUUGCACAAAAAGAAAUUCUUUUAGGGAUACUAUAUGUAUGAAAAAUUGGCAUUUAUGGGCUAUAUGCCCUUAGAAUCUUAAGUUCUUGUGAUGAAGAGAAUCUAGCAUUCUCAUGGCAUGAGUAGGUUAUAAGCAAAACCAUGCUAAUCCAAAGUAAUAAACUUACUAGUCGGGAUUUCUAUUUUCGAUCCAAUCUUGAAUUGGUCCAGUAAGUCUAUUGCUUGUCAGGUACCUUGUGAAGCAAAAUCUUUAAUUCAACAGAUAUCAAUUUGAACAAAAAACUUCAAAAUAAAUGAAUCAAGCUCUAAAUAACCUAUAAAAUGUCAGAAACUAAAAUUUCUUUGCAUUAAAUGUGAUUGAAGACUCGGCUCAUUGACAUCAAGUCUCAGGUAUAAAUUUUAUCCUAUGUAUUUCAAUGAAGGAGAAGAAAUUGGCUUUGUUGAGAAUUUACGACCGGCAUAUAGUCAGGCAAGCUAAAAGAAGAAUUUAGAGUAUGAUAAAUUUGUCACUUACAAGUUCUUCAGUUUGUCCAGGCGCUCCAGAUCCAGCGGGAUUGGUCCUUCAAGCCUGUUGAAGCUUAGAUCUCUGCCCAAAAAGAACCAUAUUCAAACCAGAAAAAAAUACUAUACCAACUUGAGACCUAUAGCAUGGAGAAUAUUUUAAAGAUUAUGUAAUGAAAGAAUUUUGGCUAGGUUGAAAUUCCCCUCCUCCUGUUUCCUAGUCUAAACACUGAGCAGAAUUCGUGACAAUAAUCAAGAAGGCCUCAUACAUAAAUUCGGUUAAACAGCAGUGUAUGGAAGGGAGAAAGUAAAGGAUAUCAAAAAAGAAAGAAACAAAUCAGAGGGAAGGCAAACUUACAGACUUUUCAAUUGAGACAUAUUAGCUAUGUAAGAAGGAAUCUGCCCUGAUAAAUUGCAGCUCCUCAACAUCCUGCAGUCACAAAUUAGUUUCAGGAAAGAGAACACUUUCAACAACUAUGGAACCAUUAAUGUAUAAAAGCAAAUCCAAGAGAAUUACUUACAAUUUAGUUAGGCCUGUCAUGUUCUCUAGUGGCGGAAAUUUUGACGCACUUCCAGUCAAGUCACUGAUUCUUCUGUAAAGACAUCAUAUUAAUAUAAAAUCCCAACCAAAUAAAAGGGGACACCAUAAUAAGCAACUAAAGAAAGUAUGCAACCUAGAAAACAACUCACAAUUCCUUCAUUCCAAAAAAGACAGAAAUGCUUGGUGGUACAGGUCCUUCAAAACCCGAAGCUAGAAUCUCUCUGUAAACCAAGCAUGAAGUUUGAUUUAAUUUAAAUCUAAGUAGAAAAUACUAGCUUUUACACAUCAAAUGGUGUGAAAAUGCUCACAAUGCCGUAAGGUUUUUCAAACUCUCAAAGCUAGGAAAUAUUCCGGUGAAGUUGUUACCGCUCAGCCUACUGCAUUGAUGCCAAAAGGGAAAGAAGGAGACUUCAGACAAACAGGAAUGCAAUAGGACCUAGAGGGCAUUAUAUUGAAAGUAUAUUCAGAGGUACUCACAGUUCUUUUAAUUUUGUGAGUUUAUUGAUUUCCUCAGGCAACUUACCUGUGAGAUUAUUAAAACUAAGAGUGCUGCACAAAGCAAAAGGCAACUAACUGGUCAAGAUAUUCUAAAACCAUUCAUUUUUCAUCUAAAGGAGGCUAGUUAGGAAGGCCUUACAGAUUCUGCAGAUUAACCAUAUUUCCGAGUUCUUUUGGAAUAGUUCCAUCAAAUAUGUUAUUUUCCAAACUCCUGAAAGUUUCGCAGUCCAUCUCAAUAAAUGUUAAAAAAAAAGACUACUUAUCCUCAUGAGUGUGCUGAAAUCCAAGAGAACAUACAUAUAAAGUAGUGUAGUCAUGUUUCCCAAGUAUUUAGGAAUCGGCCCAGAGAGUCGAUUCACCAUAACAGACCUGAAAACCAUGAAUUAUUGGAUAGUUUAAAUUAAAGGGACCUUUUGUAUGUAAUGUCUAAAGUAUAAAGUGCAAUUCAAGUGCAGCUCACAUAUAUUCCAGUUUGAUAGAUGCCCAUUCAGGGGGAAUAGUACCACUCAAAUAGUUGCGCGAGACAUCACUGCAGGACAGAUGUUGAACAAUAUAUUUCUCAGGCAAAGGAUAAUCAUAAUGAUUAUCUGGUUUAAAAAAAAAAAAAAAAAACUCCUAAGAGUUUGAAAAUACAGAUCCAACUUCCAAGUCAGUUAAACAGUACAUUGUCUUGAGGUAAGGUAACUUGACCAGGGAGGGAGGGAGAACACCUGCAAGAUCUUGUCCUUUGAGUAAUCUGUUAACAUUAUAAGAAGAGUUAACAUUAUAAUUUGAAAUCCUGUUGCUUUACAUUAUCCAAAUAUGAAAGCAAAGAUUGUUUAUUAGUUCAAAAUUUUCAUAUCCCAGUGUAGUAAUCAAACUGGUUCCAGAUAAAUAAACAGUGUUUUGACAUAGAGGAAGAAAUAUAUAUAGUGUGUCAUGUAAAUAAAGUUCAUUUCAUUGGAAUUUUUUCUGUUUUACCUUGGAGGAUUAUUAUAUAGUGUUUAGGGGUAUAGUAUAAAAGCAGGAGCCUAUGCUACUCAUAGCAGGCGUUCAAUGUUUUCCUGAUAUUUUUAUUUUUUUUGCAUUAGAAGUAGAUAAAUAUGUAUAAUUUUUUGUUAAAGCAACUGAUUUGAAGUAAGAAUUUUUCUUUUUUUAAAAUUUUUACCCUCCCUAGAACUCCCACCUUUUCCUUGCUCCUGGCUCAAACUCACAACCAUAGAGUUGGAGGUGGAGGGUGCUUACCAUCCCUCUUGUCGGAAUAAGAGUUGGAAUUCAUCUUUUGGUGGGAAAUAUCUAUUUUUUGGAAAGAAAGCAUUUUUCUAAUACCAAAAACAUUGGGGCAAAUAAGAACAGGAAGAAGCUCACAUGAUUUGUACAUGACAGAAACCAUCAGGGGUAGAGCAAUUGCAGGUUACAUUGUUGACAUACGUCGAUGUACUGUCAAUUUUUGGUGUAGUCCAAUUUGUGUUGACCAUUACAAGGAUUUCAAAUCAAAAUCCCAGUCCUUUUUACCCAACUGCUCCGCUAUUUCUAUAAGAGCAUUCUCUGCAAAAACCAUAAAAAGUUGUAUACAACAACUCAUAAAAAAUGGAUUUUUUCUGUAAAGAUUCAAACUUUAUAUGCGAAGAAUGAGAAAGAUUACUUUCAUGUUGAGGAAGAAGACGACUGUAAUUUUGUGCCUCAAUGGUUUGUACUAGAAAGCAGAGGACUAAGAAAAGCAGAAAAGAAGAAAUACUGAAAUCAUAUAAUGCUGACAUUUUCUUUAAUGCUCAAACUUGCAAAGUUUCAUUAUGUUUUAUAGAGGAACGUGAUAGAUAUGGCCUCUCACCCUAAUUACUCGUUCACUUUUUAAUUGACAUAUCUAAACCAAUGAUUGACCUUACUAUUUUACCCUAUUAAUUAUGAAAUACAUGAAUUUAAAACUUUAAAUAUUUAAUAAGUUUUAUUUUUUUCGAAGUAAUUAAUUGAGGGUAUAAAAGGUAAAAAAUAAUAAUUUAUUCUUUCUUGAUUUGUCAAAAUGGACAAGUAAUUAGGGAUAACUCAAAAAGAAAAAAUGGACAAGUAAUUAAAGACAAAAUAUAUUAGUACUACAUGCCGACAAAAUAGUCCAAUGUCUCCAUAAUCUAUUACCGAAUUUCCAACUAAGCCACUCAAAUAUUUAGUGGUCUAAAAUUCAUUAAAUAGUCCAUGUGUUAAUUUUCAAUUAGAGGUUAUAUAAUUAAUCCAACUUUUUCAAAAUGAAAUUAUUCUUGAUAUCACAAAAUCACCAUAUACAUUUCAUGAUUUCUUCAGACUUUUUCCAAAGUUCUUUAAUGGUAGUCUCUAAAAUUGUCUUCAGGAGUACCAAAUCAAUUUGUAGCUAUUGAUUUAUACUUAGUUAAUCAUUUGCUAAUCAUUUUUCACAACAAUCAUCUAAAUCACAAUAAUUUUUCAAUUUUGAAGCUAAAAAUGGAGUUCAAGUGUGAAGUGUCAUCAUGUCUAUUUUUGGGUCGUGACAAAGGAUAGCUUCUCCCAUGAUAAGACAAGAUAUGAUGAAAUUUCAGGUUACCAAGGACAUGACCUUAGAUAGGAGGGUGUACGUGGAGGACGUAUUAGGAUAGAAUUUAGAAGGUUAGUAGGUAAUGUAAUGUUGUCUUGUGGUUGGGGUUUGACAUGGUGCUAGGUAUAUCAUUGUAGUUCUUUUUUUUUUCUUUUUUUCUUUUUUUUUUAUCAUUGUUUAUUAUUGUUUUCAAUAUUUAAUCUAUCCUAGCAUGUUGUUUAUUGUGUUUCAAUUAUCACAUUAUAUAAUUGAUGUUUUUGUCUCCUUUCUGGUAGACUUUGCAUUGUUUUAUUUCUUGUUACAGUUUGCUAUAUUUUCUUCACUGCCUCAUUCUUCUUUAUACUUGGAUUUGUUGUACUUGAGUCAAGGAACUUUCGGAAACAAUCGUUCUACCUUCACGAGGAAAUGUUAAGAUUUGCGUAUAUUUUACCCUCCCCAAAUUUCAUUAGGUAUGUUAUUGAUAUCAAAAUUAAACGAUCCUUAAUGUAUGAAAAAAUGUUAUCAUUUUUGUCACGCCCCGAGCCUACACCCUGGGCGGGACCGGCACUCGGAGACCAUUGCUAGCCCCAAGCGAACCCUUGGCCUGGCUUUCUUAACUCAGCGGAAACUUAACUCAACAGCACAACUCAAUGCAAUGAAAAGGUUAUAAAACAACCAACUGAUGCAUAACAUGCCAAAAGGCAACUCGAGUCUCAAAAUAGAAUAUUUACAUAUAUAUACAUAGAUGAGAGACUCAAUACUAACUGACUGACUGUCUAUGAAGCCUCUAAAAAUCGGAGAUGGAUGUUAGGACAGACCCCGCAACACCCUAAUAGAACAAAACUAAGAACACAAAAUAAUUGAGUCCUCCGGAAUGCAAGGAGGCUCACCAUUGACUCUGGAGUACUCAGCUGGAUCAACGACGUGCUGGAUGCUGAUCCUGGGUACCUGAGUCUGCAUAGUCAUAAGAUGCAGGCCAACUGGCAUCAGUAUAUGGAAUGUACAAGUAUGCGAGCUGGAAACUCAACUCAACCUGACUGACUUCUUUCAAUAUAAGGCAAUUUAAAACAAGUGCGAUAUAAAGAAAGACUGUUUAAAACAUGUUAUAAACUCUGUGUGUAUGCAAAGAUACAAUAAGCCUGAGAUGUAUAUAGAAAUACAAAUGAACUGAUGUAUAUACAAAUACAAUACUCUUUGUGUAUAAAAAUACAAUAACUGCUGUGGGAGUUUCUCUAACCGACAACCAUCACAUGAAGCUAUAGUGAUGAUACAGCGAUCGACCUCACGCUGCCAGAGCAUCUUAUACCCGGCCAAAGAUAUAAGACCUGAACUGCCUAAUGGAUCCACUAGUCUAUCUGGAAAAAGAUUCAUCUAAAAAGUAUGAUCAUUUUCUACCCAUGGUGGCUAACAUGGUUCUAGGGGGGCUGUGGGUUUCCUUGAACGCUCCCCCAACUCGGUGCUCGAUACUACUCCCAAAAAUGUACUUGCUCUUAUGUUUUUAAAACAUAUACUUCCUGCUGAAUGAGAUAAUUACUCAAAAACUAGCCCGAAGGCUCUUUGGAAAUUUUAGUUUCCAACCUUGUCUAAAUGUAAAAACAUUUCUUUAAAACUUCUUUGGGAAUACAUAGUUCCCUAAUAACUUUGAGAAAUGAACUCAACUUGAAACUCUGGACUCUUUACUCUUUACUUGACUUGCAACUUGAGCCUUAGAAUGAAGUGAAAACGUUCAAUAAAGACUUUUGAACAACUUUGAAAACUUGCUUGAACUAAUUUCUUAACUUUGCUUGACUUGACUCUAACUUCUCUUUAACUUGAUACUAACUCGCCUUGAAUUGAAUUAUGGAUUCAAGAUAUAUAAUCACAUGUUAUGGAUGAGUUCUUGACAUUUAAACGCAACUUGAAGUGUUGAAAACAACUAGGAAACAUGGGUAUAAUACCUAGGAGCAUGCACGAGGAAGUGUGAAAAGAAUGGGGGAACUUGGCAUCCUUGGCGCUCUGCAAGGCGCGGAGCGCCAGCCCCAAAACUUCAGAGGGGGCCUGCUGGCGCUCUGAGAGGCGCACCACCCCCAAGGGGGAAACUUCAGAAUCCCUUUUGGGGGGCGCUGGCAGGCGCGACGCGCCAACCCCUUGCCCAGAAAACUCGACUUUCUCACCUUGUUUUACCAACUCUAAACCACCCUUACUUCAAGGGUUUUAACCCCAAACAAUAAGGGUCAUAAAAUCCCUCAACAUACCAUAGAUUCAGCUCAAAACACAACCAAAAACAUGCCCAAAACAACAAGGGACUUCAACAACANNNNNNNNNNUCCGGACGGAUUCCCUGCCAACUGCCCAACUUUCAAAGGGCAUAACUCACUCAUACGAACUCGGAAUCGAGCAAACUCGGUGGCCUUGGAAAGAUCAUUCCACGAGCUUUGCAACCAUAAUUGGAACUACACCUAAAUCAUCCUGAGCUAGUAGUUAUGACUGCUCAAAAUUUGGCCAAAAACUCACCUUUUUCCAUACUUAGCCAAAUUUCCAGAUUUUUAAAUCUUUUCAAAAAUGACUAUUUCCAAUUCUAAGCCUCUUCAUAAUUAUUUCAAAUCGUCGGUUGUUAUAAUUUCAGUCCUUCAUAUAUAUACCAUGUAGUUAAUCAACAUAUAUAGUUCUUAAUGUAUGAAAAAAUGGUCAUUUUAGUCUUUCAUUUAUACUAUGUAAUCGAAAUAGUCCCUAAUGCAUUUUUUAAAAAUCAUUUUUGUCCUAAACCUUAAAGGUAACCGUGCAAGUAACAAAUAUGUUAUGCUUAAUACCAAUAAUUAAGGGCCCGUUUGACCAUGUGAGAUCAAAUCAUAUGCGAUGAAGUUGAAGUUUUUGUUUGGAAAUGCAAUUUUGAUUUUUUAAGUUCUAUUUUUUGCUCAUAAGCAUGAAACCUCAUAAGUUGUGAAAACUAUCAAAAUUAUCCCAAUUUUUUAAUACAAUCUUACCAAAUAAGUAAAACUUUAUAACAAAAGUAUAAUACACUACCACAAAGUUAUUCUAAAACAAAAACACAACAUUUAUUGAUUGAACUUUAGUUCAACAAAAAAGUCAAAUUGAACAUGUUUCUUUAAUAAAAUUGAACAUGGUUAAUAUCAUUAGUAACUAUAUCAUCAUAUUCAUAUUUCGUGAAUAUGUCAUCACUUCUCUGGUAUUCUCGUAAAAAUUAUUUAGAUAUAAAAUCAUGGAUUUUUUUACAUAAAAUAUAAACUUAUGGGUCAUUUUUUGUAUUUGAAAAAUGUAAAAUCAUGAUACGAAAUUCUCAAAUCAAGUUUUUCAGAGAAUCUAAGAUUGCAUCUCAUGAUUUCAAAUCGCAUGUCCCAAACUCUAAUUUCAUCUUAUGAUUUCAAAUCGUGAGAUAAAAUCACAUAACCAAACGCUACUUAAGUAUAUUUUUGCUUUUGAAAUCACAACCAUUUGUGUCUCUUGCUUGCUGCAAGAACAAAAGUUAAUGUUUAUUAUAAGUUUUUAAACAUUAAUUAAAUAUUUUAAAGAAUUAUGAUAGUAAAACAUACAGCAGUUAUGAAUAACAUUUAAGAGUAGAAGUUAUAAGUAAGAAAAAGAGAUAUGAAUUGUAAAUAAUUUAAAUGAUAUUAGAAAAUUAUUUUUAUAUCUUUGCAAGCAUAAUAAAAAUAAAACUUUUCAUAAUAAUUUUUUUGAUUGAUUAUGCUUCAUAACAAAAGAAGCAAUUUUUUUUUACUAAUACGGCUUUCGAAUGCUGCUUGAUUACCUAUGUCGGUUGUGUUAACGAAGAUUUGUGUUUUAGUUCGGCCAUAAUACGAAAUUUUCUGAUUGGAAAUUCAGUGGACUAGAAAAAUCGACAACCGACAAGAUUUGCUUUAUGUCUUGAAAAAGUAUUACAAUAAUAAUAAUUAAAAAGGGUAGAGAAAAAAAUAAAUAAAAUUGACUAGUAUUAUUAUUAUUAGUUGAGAAAUGAACCCUAUUAGCUUAAGAUCAUAAAAUAGACAUCAGUGGACUUGAGACUUAGACUUUUCUUAUAAAUUUUUAUUAUGUUAGGCCCCAAUCAAUAAUAUCAUUGGAAAAUUAUUAGUCCUUGUGAACCCUCUCAUAAUCUAUUAUUUGUCCUUAGUUUUAGUUUUUGACACAUUCCUUGAAAAUAUAAUCACUCCUAAUAAGAAAAAAUGUGUUUUUUUAAUUAAUAAUCACCCUAGGCAAUAACAUAAUCCAUGUGAUGUUUUAUAUAAAAGUAAUUAUGGCCGAAUUUUCUUAGUUUCUUUCUUUAAUAAAAAUUCCAUAGGAAUUUGGUUAAGGAAUCCAAUGAUCACUUUAACUUUAACUUGAUUACACAUUCUUGAGUUUGAGUUAUGUGUAUGGAGAAAAUUAUAUUGGGGAGUGUCACCCUCAAAUGGACCAUGCAGCAUGCGAUUCAGAUUCAAUCGAUCUCUCCAAAUGUGUCCGCAGUGCGUAAUCCAAAUUUAGUUGGGAUUCCAAUGUGGGCUUCGAAAAUCGGAUGGCAAAACAAAAAAAGAUAUGUAUCACUCAUUUUAGAUUAUAAAUUUCUUUUUAAAAUACUAUCUUCAAUAAUUUAAUUACAAUCACAUAAAUUAAAAUGAAAACGAAAGGGAUAGUGUAAAUGAAAGCAAGUUGUGUCGACAAGGAUAUUAAUAAUUUAAUAUAGUAGGACAAUUAUCAUAAAAAGAAGAAAUGGUAAAUGCAGUAGUACUAUACGACUUGGUUUUGCUUCACAGUAGCUAGCUAUAUAUGAUGUUAAUUUGACAAUAAUAUUUCUACGUAAAAAAAAAAAUAACAUUCAGUCACUAACUGGACUACUGGAGCUGUGCGUUGGAUUAUGCUCUAAUCAAGAUUUCUGGAUGUUAAUGGGAGGAUUAACCAAUCAUAUUUUUCUUUUCUAACUUUAGCUUAACAUCACAAUCCAUACUUUCCACGUAUUUUGAAGAUCAUAAGUAUCAUCAAAAUUAAACAAACAAAUUUAAAUCGAGGAGAACUACUUGUAGCUUGUAGUUCCAAAAAGGAUCAUAAGUUUCAUCAAAAUUAAACGAACAAAUUUAAAUCGAGGAGAAAUAUUGCUUGUAGCUUGUAGCUCCAAAAAGGAUCAUCCCCUCAUAUUAAACUAGAGGCGGGGUUCUAAAUUUCCUUUAAAGAGUUGAUAGUGGGGUUUGAACCCACAACUUUAGCAUGGAAAACAUUUGUUGGGGGUUCACAAGUUAACAUACAUAUAUAUAUUUAAUUUUUCAAUACAAAUAUAGAAUCAACAGAAAGGCUAUUAGGUUUGUCCAAACCAACAAACCCCACCUAGCUCCGCCUCUAUAUUAAAUCCUAGAUUUAGAUAUAUAUCUUCCUCAGAUAUGACAGCUAGCAUUCUUGAGUGAUACUGCCAUUUAUAUAACACAUUUAUUUUAAAAUAUGAGAUUUUUCAAUAUUUGAAAAUUAUUUUAUCGUAGCAUCUCAAUUUUACUCUCAUUAAUGAUUAGACUUGUUGGAACUCUAACCACUACUCAUUUAAAAUAAAUAGAUAUAUGGAACUAUCAUCCUCAUCAAUGCCAUAUUUUGAUACUUUGCAUAGAUUUUGCUUAGGGAAAAGGGUUCAAAAUAUUUUUGAAAUAAGUCAAUUUAUCUUCUAUUACAUUUUUGGCUUAAAAUAUCAUUGUUGUUAAUCAACUAGCUCAAAAAUGUUUUAUAACUGACCAAAUAGCUCAAAAAUACAUUGUCUUUGUGACUCCAAAACAAAGAAAAAAGGAUUAAUUUGUCUUUGAGCUAUUUAAAAUGGAACUACAAAUUAAGGUACUAUAGAUUACUUGAUAGAGUUACAAAAACUAUUAGAGUAAUCAAAGUCCAUAAUACUCCCUCUAUUCAAUAAUAGUAGUUCAUUAUUACUUGAUACAGAGCUUAAGAAAUAUAGAGGAUAGGGGUAAUUAUAGCAAAUCACCCUUAAUAAAUAUAAGUCAUCUAAAUAUUGUUCAGUCUGAGCCUAGGCCUGCACGACUUUAAAACGCGUUACUAGUUGGUAAGACCUACUUACUUAUAUACCCAACAUAUCUUCUAUGUUUUUGCCAAUACGUGACUUCUUGUCUUAAGUUGGGGCAUCACAUAUACCCCUCUAUGGACUAAUCGGGGCCGAUAUGAGACUUCUUGUCUAAGUUGGGGCAUCACAUAUACCCCUCUAUGGACUCAUCGAGGCCGAUAUGAGACUUCUUGUCUUAUAAGUUGGGGCGUCACAUAUACCCACUCUAUGGACUCAACGUCCUUGCUGAGGUUUGCCCCACCGUAUGAGAUAUGCCAUCAUGGGUAUUUGCGCUGAGUUUCUUACCAUAAAUACUCAGCUUUGAUGUUUGCCCUGUUGGGUGCUGACACUGGAGUGGCUCUCAUGACAUUUGUAACAGCCCAUCCCGCUAGUGAUAUUGUCCACUCUAGGUUUAGACCCGCAUGAAUUUAAAAUGCAUCACUAGUUGGUAAAACAUGCUUACUUGUAUAUCCAACAUCUCUUCUGUAGUUUUACUGAUGUGAGACUUCUUUCUUGUCUUGAGUUGGGGUGACACAAGUAUUUAAUAGCAAAGAUAAAAUAGACAUAAAAAAGUAAAUUAUCAAUGACUAUAUAUAUAGUACUAACAUACUAACACUUGCUUUGUCCUAGCUUUAACAUUUACUAUUUAUGAGGAUGAACUCAUAAGUUUAAAUUCCUUAUUCAUAUCAGUUCUCAUGGCUGUUUUCCAGACAUUAGUAUUAGUAGUAGAGGUUUACCAUUUGCUUGGAAUGGCGUCUCCUUCAAAGUAGUAUCUGUAUAGGCUAUUACACUCACAUCACAUAUAUGGUCCUAAAAUAAUAUGUUACUCUUUGUUUCACAAUAUUGAUCUGACUGUGAAUUUAUUUAACCCGAUUCAGAUGUAGUGGAAGAGCACUCUCUUCUUAUAGUGUUGGAUGAAUGAGUAAGUGCUUAACUUUCGCUCAAGCUCCGCAUCUCGUCAUACUUGUCUCUUAACCCUUGAAACUUGAGUUCAUCAUCAUCAUCAUGGGAUCUUGAUUCCAAGCUAAACUCAGGAAGGUCAAUAUGAUCUUCAAGAAUGCUGACUACUGCAGACAUGUUUGGCCUAAGUGCUGGAGAUGUAUUGGUACAUAGAAGGGCUACGUUUAUCAUCCUUAGAGCCUCAUCCUUCUUGAAAUCUGAACUCAAUGUUUCAUCUACUAGUUCCAUCAGUUUUCCUUCCCUUUUUAGAACAAGGGCCUGAACAAAAUGCAAAGAUACUAGUUCAAAAGUUUGGAACAUAGGAAUUGAUAUCAGGGAC